rnacentral:tRNA from 1 species
UCUGAUAUAGCUCAGUGGCAGAGCACCCGGCUCUGGACCGGGAGGACACAGGUUCGAGCCCUGUUAUCAGAGCAA